rnacentral:rRNA from 1 species
CGCUUUCACUCCUACGGGAGGCAGCAGUGGGGAAUAUUGCACAAUGGGCGCAAGCCUGAUGCAGCCAUGCCGCGUGUAUGAAGAAGGCCUUCGGGUUGUAAAGUACUUUCAGCAGUGAGGAAGGUGGUGCAGUUAAUAGCUGUAUCAUUUGACGUUAGCUGCAGAAGAAGCACCGGCUAACUCCGUGCCAGCAGCCGCGGUAAUACGGAGGGUGCGAGCGUUAAUCGGAAUUACUGGGCGUAAAGCGCAUGCAGGUGGUUUGUUAAGUCAGAUGUGAAAGCCCGGGGCUCAACCUCGGAAUUGCAUUUGAAACUGGCAGACUAGAGUACUGUAGAGGGGGUAGAAUUUCAGGUGUAGCGGUGAAAAUGCGUAGAGAUCUGAAGGAAUACCGGUGGCGAAGGCGGCCCCCUGGACAGAUACUGACACUCAGAUGCGAAAGCGUGGGGAGCAAACAGGAUUAGAUACCCUGGUAG